GGUGGCUCAGUGGUAGAGCGCUUGCCUUGAAUGCAUGAGGCCCUGGGUUUGAUUCCUAGCACCA
rnacentral:tRNA from 1 species